ACAAGUAUACAUACUAUAUAAUUUUGUUUAUAUAAAAUGCUACAAUCAAAUAAAACUGAGGUUCUGACUUCCACUAAGUGUGGACUAGCUUGUUGAACUCUCACAAAUAACAAUGAUGAAACUUGAAUAAAAUAUAUUAUUAUAGAAAAACGCCUAUGCAUAAUACAUAUAUGAUAUGUGUGUUUAACAACUGAAUGAAGAUUUCAGCUAUACCCACUGUAGCGGACAUAAGCAUUGGUUUGACACUAGCCCAGUGAACCCUGUUUAUAAAACAAAAGUCUUCAAGGUAAAACAGCAAAAUCCAGAGUUUCUAUUCUAUAAUUAUCAUUUAUAGUUUCUAGUGCACAAUUUUAAAAUUCAUAAGACUUGUAAAGAAACGUGAAAAUGUCAUCCAUACACAAUAUCAAAAGCAGGCAGUAGAAGCUAUCCCAGGAUGUUGCAAUCAGCAGACAAGAAUUUGAAGGCAGUUUUUAUGAAUAUGUUCAUGGGGAAAAAAGAAAAUAUUCUAUUCAUAAACAAACAGAUGUGGAACUUCAGCAGAGAAAUGAACAUAUAUAUAAAAAAAUUAUAGAUAAGGAAAUGAAAAAAAUCUUUUGAGUUUAGCCAUAGAUUUAAAACAGAAGACACAGCAAUAGAAAUUAUCCAGUCUGGAAAAAAAAAAGUACAAAAAGUUUAAAGGAAAUGAACAGAGCUCUCGAGACCUGUGGAAUGACUGAGUCUAAGGAGAAGGGAGAGACAAAAAAAAAAUUAAAUAGGGAACAGAAGUAAAUCAACAACUAAUAGCGGAAUACUUCCAAAAACUGUCCAAAUACCUAAAUAUUUAUAUCCAAAAGGUCAAUAAAUACAAAACAAAAUACAAAUAAAACCACAGCAAGGCCAUAUCGUGGUUUAUGAAACAGGCAAGGCAGGGCUUUUGCUUGACUUGCUGUGAUAUCUAAUUGCUACUAUUUAUGGAUACUAUGGAAAUAAAUACUAAAUAGAAUGGGAGAUAGGUUAUUCUCAGAGUUUUUUUUUUUUUUUGCAAAGAUGACUGUUAUUAAAGGUAGAUGACUUUCCAGCAUGUCGAAAGGGGCGUGGCAGGGGAGGGGCGAGGAGAAGGGUCGGGGCUGAGGGAGGGGCCCUGCAAAGGUCUGGGCGCGCCCAGCUCCCCGAGAGCAAGCGUUACGGCAACGCUGGGCAGGCUGUUGGAGGCUCCCGGGUUCUGUCUUGUCAGAGAGAAAUCAAACUUCAGGCACAAAUAGUCGUACAACUGGCACGUGGGGAGACUGUGCCACAAUUACAAGUGAGACCACCUGCCCUGGCCACGCUGUCUCCUCGCACGCAGAAGUCUGGGAACAGAUAGGCUCCCCUCAGCAGGGCGGAAUUGCACUGGAAACAUGGAGGGGCGGAGGAGAAGAUGAAAUUAUCCCCUCAGUGUUGGAACUGUAGUCUCAGAGAAGAUGAAAUUUUCCCCGUAGUGUUGGAACUGUAGUCUCAGAUCCACUCACAGCCUUUCUGUCGCGGCAGUCGGACUAUGAUCCCAGCAUGCGCUGGGCUUAAGGGAGGUUCCCAGCCCUGGAGGAAGGGUCAACAGGGUGGGUCCCUCGCAAGGCGUCCUGGGAGUCAUAGUCCUUAAACGGUUUCCAGCACGUUGAUCGCAAGGCUACCGAACUACAAUGCCAGCAUGCACCGGGAUUGGGGCGGUGUGUAACGCUGGAGGGAAGGAUAGAGAGGCGCGUCCCUGGCCAGGGAUGCUGGGAGUUAUGGUCUCUUAAUGGUUUCCAGCGAUGGCCCCCGGCCUGCAGACUAAAAUCCCAGCAGCCACCGGGCUUCGAGGCGGUGUGUAGCACUGAAGGGAAGGAUAGGGAGGUGCGUCCUUAGCCAGGCGUGCUGGGAGUUAUGGUCUCUUAACAGUUUCCAGUCAGUUGGUCCCAGGAUUACCUGACUACAAUCCCAGCAUGCGUUGGGCUUGGGGGCGGUGCGCAGCCCUAGAGGAAGGAUCGGGACGGCGGGUACCUCGCAAGGCAUCCUGGGAGUCAUAGUCCUUUCAGUAUUUCCAGCCCAUUGGUCGCGAGGCUAACGGACUACAAUCUCAGCAUGCGCUGGGUUUGGGGGCGGUGUGUAGUAUGGAAGCGAAGGAUAGGGAGGCGCGUCCCUAGCUAGGAGUGCUGGGAGUUUUGGUGUCUUAACGGUUUCCAGCCCAUUGGUCGCCGACCUGCUAACUACAAAACCAGCAUGCGCUGUCUGUCCUCCCCCGUGGUGCGCAGCCCUGGAGGGAGGGACAGGGCGGUGUGGACCUCGUCCUUUCCUAAGCGAUGCCACAUGCUGAUUCUGUGCCACCCCCUCGCCAAGGGAGUCCGCAGAAGGACUUGAGGGGCAGGUCUAGGCUGGGCGAUGAGGACGGUGUGACCCUGCGAAGUGCACCUCCCUUGCUCAAAUCGGAGGGGUCUGGUCCUCACUGAACAGCCCGCUGAACAUCUCGGUGUCCUCUCACAUACACACCCGCGGGGGGUUUCCAGAGCAUCGCACCUCUUCCAGCCCAGGGAGCCGCCUGCUCUGCUAAACUCUAUGGGAACUGAGACAUCCACCUGCUGCGUGACCCACCCGUGCGCAACUUCAGAGCUUUCAGGGGGUGAUGCGGGCUGUGGCUCCUUCGUGAAAAUGUCACCGUCUGCAGCGCCUUUCUUGUGAUAUAGAACUUGACGGGUGAGAGCGGGUAUUUCUUGGGUUACUCAGGAUCUGCUAACAGCAGAGGAGAAAACCACAAUUCCCAGGCAUAAGAAUCUACCUAAAGAUGAUGGUUUAGAUAUUUUACAGUUGAAAUCACCAGCCUCAUCUCAACUGAGUCCUGACUGACGAGUGUCUCAAAAAAGCAGUUGGUGACCUCAUCCCUCAGGAACAGGUGGUGCUCCAGCUUUGUGGGGAUGACUUUCAAGGUGCAGAGCACUUGAGCCGCAUUUGAAGUCAUUCGUGUUUUACAUCUCUGCUUUGGAUGGAAAGUUGAUCCCCCACAGCCGUUGGGGAUGUACCUUAAUAUACUGGGGCUUAUCAGUUAAAUUUUUCUGUCUAGACAAUGAAAACCCAGAAGUUCCACUUGCAGGUAGCCUCUUAAUAAUCGACGUUCCUAAGUUCCUUAUGUCCUCAGGAUAGUUCCUUUUGUUCCCAGAUGUUACCAACUUUGAUGAUGCAUCUAAUCUGUACAAACCUGUGUAUUUCUCUAUGUGAAAAGAAUACUUUGUUCAAAUUACAUGUUCUUAUAAAUUUCACUUGUGAUCGGUGAGUAUGGGACACUAUAAAAAAAUCCUGAAAAACCUCAUCAUAGCAAUUGAAUCACGUUACUGUACUUUAUGAGGAAUUAACCCCUUCAGGAUGAAUUACUCAUGGGUUCAUCAGCACAUUUGUGAAGAAAGGAAGAAAAACUGUAUGGCCUUUAUGAAAUUGGAAAAAUAAAGAACUAUAUAUAGGAGGACCACAGCACAAUACUAGGACCCUUCUCUUAUUUUAAAUAGACUCUAUGGGGUCGAAUGCCUGCAUUCCUAACCUAUCCUGCAGUAUUCUCAUCCUACUCUUCACUGUGUAUUUAGGUGGGGGUUUCUGAAUUCACUUGUCCACAGCGUUAGUGGGGAUGUUGUAACGUGAGGGUAUCCAUCAUCUAUCAUCUUAAUAAUUAAUGAAGAGAAGAGCCUUGAGAUCUGUCUUCAGAUACACUGCUGUCGAGUAUGUGCCUGCAAAGACACUGCCCACACCGGUGGUCUCAGAAAGUUGAACCUGAUGCCACCACAAGCUGCUGUUCACAGAUCUAGGUGCUCCUUGUGAUUUGAGUCUCCUGCUUACAUUUGUGGUUGUGAACCUGCUAUGCUCACGCCAUUUAUGGUUCCUGUGAAUGAAGUUGCAAAUAUUGAUGAAGAUAAUACUACUGCCUUGCUGUCAAACAGUAACAGUCACCUUUUUUUGUAUCUCCAAUUAUAAAUGCAAUACAUACUGUAAAAAGAAAAGAAAACAUCAUAAAUAUCUUUAUAAAGUAAAA